rnacentral:sRNA from 1 species
UCAGUGAAGUAGGGAGGCAAGGCAUGCUCAUCUCCAUUGCACAGAUGAGCAAAGGAAGGCCCAGAGAGAAGGGGCUUGCCCACAGACUGGCACAGAUAUAGGUGCCAAGCUCUACGACCCCCAGCCCAGUACUUGUUCUACGGUUCUGUUUCUUAUGUGCAGCUGGGCAGAGCAGAAAAUCAGAAGCUGAGAAUUCUGGGAAGAAAGAAUCCCUUCGGACCUGUAACUUCCUUCUUUCCGCCUUCUCUUUCUUCCUUCCCUUAUGCUGGUCACUGGGACACCAUGAUGAACAAGAUACAACCCAGGCCCUCCUAGAGCUCACAGGCCAGUGAGGAUAAAGACCUCUAAUCAGGCCCUUAUUAGCUGGGGUACUAGAGGCCAGGCGGGAGGCACAUAGCAGAGACGCCUGACCCAGCCUGGGGGAAUCCCGGUGGUCUGCCUGUAGGAAGUGACACCUUGCCUGAGACCGCCUCCAUUCCUACUAACCUGGCUUGGUUCUAGCCCCAUGUCCUCCAGAUGGCUGCCUGCUCUCCUGAAGGCUUCAGGUCCUGAUGCCUGACAUGAGUUAUCAUGUCCUGUGUGCAGGCCCAGCUCCUGGCUCAUGCAUAGGAGGCACUGAGCAACUCCUGGUGCCUAGUCCAGGACUUGGCUCCACCCAGAUAGGGAUGGUGGGUUGGGGGUGAACUGUCUUCAGUGGCAUGCACCUUUUUCUGUCUAGGAAUCCACUCUGAGUGAUGACUCCACGCCCCCCAGCAGCAGCCCCAAGAUCCCCAGUGGGCCCCGGCAGGAGGCCAAAUGUUCUUACCCCUACCACACACUGUCUCAGUCUUCAGACGAGGUGAGCAAGGCUGGCCCAGGGUGCCCACGGAGUCCUGACCUCUGACUCUACAAGGUGCUCAGGUCACAAGCCAAGCCUCCCCCCUCACUCUCCUUGGUCUCUGCCCAGUUCCUGGAUGAACCCCUCCCCCCUGUCCACCAUUGGACCAGCCAGCAGGUGGGCCAGUGGCUGCAGAGCCUCAACCUGGAACAGUAUGCUGCCGAGUUUGCUGCACGGCAGGUAGACGGGCCGCAGCUGCUGCAGCUGGACGGAAGCAAACUAAAGGUGGGUCAGAGUGGAAGGGCCAUGACCCAGCCCAGUUACUUGAGGUGACUUUCAAGGAUUUGAAGUCCCUCGUCCUGACCUUUGACCCUCAGCCCAGCCUUCUGGGCUGACCUUUUUACUCCAUCUGUGGCCACUACCCUGACCUCUGACCUCUAGGCAAGGUCCUUGGUCUAAUCUUUUGAGUUGUAGCAUGAAUCCCUAGUUUGACUUGAAACUCUAGUCCAUGACUUCAGUGUGACCUUCAAGCUCCAGCCCUGGUCUCCAGGCUGACCUUGCCCUCUAGGAUGACCCUUGAUGCAUAUGAGUGUCCUGGUAUCAUGGGAAGCCACAUCUCCCCCUGGUCAGCUUGGUCUGAUUCUGUCUCAGAGGCUAGUGGUAAUCGUGGGCAGGGGGAGGCUGUAGGGAGGGGGAUGGGUGGCCUCUGACCUAUAAGCUGGGAGGUUCCUGGCCUGUCUCCUGCUCUCUCUGAGUUGCUUGGGGCAGGGAUGGUGAAAAGAGCCCCCAGGAAGUCUCUGGAAGUGAGGAGGGUCCUUGGGCACUAACUGUGUGACCUUGGGCAAGUGACUCCCCAUCUCUGGGCCUCAGGAGGUUGCGCAGGUCCGGGCCAAGGCUGAAAUACUGAGUGGAGGAAUGGCGGGGGGAGGAGGAGGAAGCGCCUAAUACCCCCAACCCUCAUCUUUCCCAACCACACUCAUUCCAAAUUCUUGCUCUGGGGGUUCUGAUCCAUGGGCAGGUCACGGUGUGGGAGGCGGAGGCUCCACUCCAGGGAGGAUUCGGAGCUCCACAGAGUACACCUGGGGCAAAAGGAGCCUGGGCGUAGGAGGCCAGGACCGGGAAGGUUCUGGGACUCUCUCCCUCACCCCGGACUCCUCCCCAGAGCCUGGGGCUCAGCAACUCGCAUGACCGGGCACUGGUGAAGCGCAAGUUGAAGGAGAUGGCAGCGGCUGCCGAGAAGGAGCGCAAGGCCCAGGAGAAGGCUGCGCGGCAGCGGGAGAAGCUCCGGCGCCGAGAGCAGGAGGCCAAGAAGAGCUAGGGGAGGGUGCACAGGCGCUGGCGCCCGGCAGGGGCAGCCACUGGCUCCGCGGGCACAGGCCUCACCAGGGAGGCUGGACCUGGGCACUGCACUUGGGCUAGCCUGGUCCCACGCUCUCAGGGGGGACAUGCCCUCUCUUACCCUGUCACUUGGUCUAGACCCAGAGCCCCCAGAAAGGGAGACCCCAGGGAGAGGGCCUAGUAAUAAAUCCUAUUUUGAGGACU